CACCCAAGAGAAAGACUCUGCAGCUGUUCUGUAGUACCACCCAAGAAGAAGACUGCAGCUGAACUGUAGUACCACCCAAGAGAAAGAAUGCAGCUGUUCUGUAGUACCACCCAAGAGAAAGAAUGCAGCUGUUCUGUAGUACCACCCAAGAGAAAGAAUGCAGCUGUUCUGUAGUACCACCCAAGAGAGGGACUCUGCAGCUGAACCACCCAAGAGAAAGACUCUGCAGCUGUUCUGGUACCACCCAAGAGCUCUGCAGCUGAACUGUAGUACCACCCAAGAGAAAGAAUGCAGCUGUUCUGUAGUACCACCCAAGAGAAAGACUCUGCAGCUGUUCUGUAGUACCACCCAAGAUAAAGAAGCAGCUGAACUGUAGACCACCCAAGAGAUAGACUGCAGGUGAACUGUA
rnacentral:lncRNA from 1 species